AUGUGUAAGUAGAGUUGAUAUAAGGCGAAACUGCGAACGGCUCAUUACAACAGAUAUAAUUUACUUGUUCUCAUCCCUAAACGGAUAACUGCGGUAAUUCUGGAGCCAAUACGUGCACCAAAGCGCGAUCUCACUUGUGAGUCGUGUGCACUUAUCGGAGCAAAACCAAACCUUCGGGUCGGAUGCUAACUCUGGAUAAUACUGCUUAUCGCAUGGCCUCGUGCCGGCGAAGUGACAUUCAAGUAUCUGCCCUAUCAAUUAUCGUUGUUAGUGUAUUGGACUAACAAGAUGGUGACGGGUAACGGAGAAUCAGGGUUCGACUCCGGAGAGGCCGCCUUAGAAACGGCGACCAUGUCUAAGGAUAGCAGCAGGCGCGAAAAUUACCCACUGCUCACUCUGAGCGAGGUAGUGACGAGAAAUAACAAAGCCGUUCUCUAUGAGGUCGGCUAUUGGAAUGGGUACAACCUAGACGAUUUAACGAGUAUCAACGAGAGGGCAAGUCUGGUGCCAGCAGCCGCGGUAAUUCCAGCUCUCGUAAUGUAUAGAAUUAUUGUUGCGGUUAAAAAGUUCGUAGUUGGAUUGUCUCGCCGCGGCGGGUCGGCCUUAACGGGCUCGUACUCGUGGCGGCAUUUGCGUCUUCGCCCCCGCGCCCCUAACGGGGACGGGAGCGUGGCGCGGAUUACUUUGAACGGCUUACGUGCUCAAGACAAGUCAUCGUGACUGAUUACCGGUGCAUGGAAUAAUGGAACAAGGUCUCGGCCGAGUUUUGUUGGUUUUGUCGGCUGAAACAAUGGUUAACAGGGACAGCUGGGGGCAUUCGUAUCGCUGCGCGAGAGGUGAAAUUCGUGGACCGCAGCGAGACGCACUAAAGCGAAGGCAUUYGCCAAGAGUGUUUUCAUUAAUCAAGAACGAAAGUCAGAGGUUCGAAGGCGAUUAGAUACCGCCCUAGUUCUGACCGUAAACGAUGCCAACUAUCGAUCCGCCUGUGGACCCAAAAUUCAUAGGCGGGGAGGUCGCCGGAAACGAAAGUCUUUCGGUUCCGGGGGAAGUAUGGUUGCAAAGCUGAAACUUAAAGGAAUUGACGGAAGGGCACCACCAGGAGUGGAGCUUGCGGCUUAAUUUGACUCAACACGGGAAAACUCACCCGGCCAGUACAUCGUAAGGAUUGACAGAUUGAAAGCUCUUUCAUGAUUCGGUGAAUGGUGGUGCAUGGCCGUUCUUAGUUCGUGGCGUGAGUCGUCUGCUUAAUUGCGAUAACGAGCGAGACUCCGAUUGUUAACUAGUCGAGGCGUUGAUUCGUCUGCACCUCCGACUUCUUAACGAGAUCGGGCGCUUCAAGCGCCAAGAGAUGGAGCAAUAACAGGUCUGUGAUGCCCUUAGAUGUUCGGGGCUGCACGCGUGCUACAAUAGUAGCAACAACGGGAUUGUCCUCGCCCGACAGGGCUUGGCAAACCGCUGAGAUGUUAUUAUGGCUGGAAUUGAGUGUUGAAAUUCUCUCUCAUGAACGAGGAAUUCCAAGUAAAUUGCGAGUCAUCAACUCGCAUUGAUUACGUCCCUGCCCUUUGUACACACCGCCCGUCGCUGCCCGGGACUGAGUUAUUUCGAGAAAUCCACGGAUUUGCGGGCCUCGGCCACGCGGAAAAGUGGCUUAAUCGCGAUGGCUUGAACCGGGC
rnacentral:rRNA from 1 species